GGGAAAGGCUGGCUAUUUUUGCAAAUUAGGGAGAUGGGGAAGGGAAGGCAGGAGAUAGGAGAGAUAGGAAAAAAACAAGAAUUAUGUAAAGUGGGGAUAGUCACCACCAAAGAUCUAGGGGUGUCCUCUUCGAGCUUUUCCUACAGUCCAAGGCUGAUGCGUAAGUAAGGGCAAAGGGGGAGGCAGUGGCAGAAUGGCUGGCUUUAGGCAGAAAGCAGGUAAGAAGUAGGCAACCAACAGCUGGUCUAGGAGAAACAGACAGGUCUCGGGUAGCAGCCCCAGGAGAAUCAGGCAGCAGGCAACUAUCAUGCCACAAGGCAUACAAUAUUGGGCAGACUCCUCCUUGGUUGUAGGUGCCUUUUUUAAUCCUCUUCUUCUGCCAGUGUGGCAUUCCUGUUAGAAUCACGUGCAGCACCUGUGGGCAUGCAGGUCCUCCUGGAUGGUUAUCUCCCUACAGAUGUGCCCACAAAAGGCUGUUCAUCGGCCAUUUAGCAGAUGCUUAUCUCUGGCAGAAACUUAUCUCUCAUUGCCCCUGGCCUGUAAGGCCGCAGUUGUGACUGCAGCUAACUCUCCCGGUCUCAACAGCCUAAGCUGGCCUUCCGGAGAUCCCACCAUGCCGUCCGCUACACCCUGGAGACGCGCUAAUGUGGUCCUAUCCCCUCGGCCCUGACCAUUGGCUGGGUGUCGGGCAUCUCGGGUGGCUGCCGCCACCACUGCUUGCAAUUGUGUAUUCCAAGCAUCAUACCACAGGGUGUACUGAACCGGUUCAAGGAUCACAUGCAUGAGGCUGAUCACAUCGUACGGUAGUAGGCUAGAGGCCAUGAGGGCCUCUACCGCCGCCAUUGUUACUGGGGAACGCAGCCCCUUUGUUUUAACAAUUUCAGAAAGGCGGGUUAUUGCUUUAGAAUCUAGAGGGACCCACGCCGGGCCCUCUGUCUUGACUAUGACCGGAAGGGCUAGCGGCGGCCGUGCUGGGUCGGCUGCUCGUAAGUCCUCCCUCACCCGGGCCCAAUCAGUGAGCAUGGGCGGAGUCC
ensembl:lncRNA